rnacentral:snRNA from 1 species
GUGCUCACUUUGGCAGCACAUAUACUAAAAUUGGAACGAUACAGAGAUUAGCAUGGCUCCUGUGCAAGGAUGACAUGCAAAUUUGUGAAGUGUUCCAUAAUUUU